rnacentral:lncRNA from 1 species
AUCUGGAAUCUAAUAUAAGGCACAAAUGAAUCUUUCUGCCGAGACCAGCUCAGCAGGAUGGGGCUGAAGAACGGGUGCUGUGAAACUUAAGGAAAAAAGAUAACAUAAAACAAGACAGAGACAUUUAUCUUAAGUAAAGGUGGGAACCAGGGGACUCAAGGUCUCAGGGGCCAAAAGCACUGUCUCAAGAAACCACAUUGCUUUUAUUGUCCUCUUUAGGAUGAGAUUAAGUGAGGAGGGGGCUAUGGGUGGAGGAUAUAGGGUUUGAUUAUUUUAUAAGUUCUUUUAUUAUUUUAAAAGUCACUUAGCUGGUAGAAGUUUAAGCUUUUACUCUGACCUUGAGGCACAUAAUAAUUAGCAUUUGUUAGCUAUCUAUGCAUAGCAUUCCAGAGAAUCCUCACUGUGCUUCCACAAACUGCAUGCCUAUUUUCAGCAACCCAGCGUGCCUAGGUUUGCACCUUGGUUCUCUUUGCUAAUGCAUAUUCUGCUAACGACUACUCAUAAACCACUUGGCCAUGAGGUUCCUCUUUCUCUUACUCCUUAGAGGAUAUAUUGGAUAUAUAAUGCUUGUGCACACGGCGUGCCAAUCUGCACAGGUCCAUGUGCGUAGACCAACGCAUUCAGCUGACCCUAUGAAUAGCUUAUGCCUUUAGGUCUUUGUUCUUAAGCUUAAGUCAUUUACCAGCACUGUGACUCUUUUUCCAAGCAGGAAGAUGGGAUAAAGUAAAGCAAGAAGAUGGGAUAAAGUAAAGCAGGAUAAGAUGGAGUUUUCAGCAAAGAGGCUAAGAAAAUAUUGUAGAAACAUGUCUGUGACACCUUUCCACAGGAAAGAAAAUCAUGGACCUGCAGAAUAGACUUGUGGUUGCCAAGGGGGAGGAGGAAGGAGUGGGGUGGUUGGGGAGCUUGGGAUUAAUAGAUACAAACUAUUGCCUUUGGAAUGGAAUAGCAAUGAGAUCCUGCUGUGUAGCAAUGGGAACUAUGUCUAGUCACUUAUGAUGGAGCGUGAUAAUGUGAGAAAAUAGAAUGUGUACAUGUAUGUGUAACUGGGUCACCAUGCUAUACAGUAGAGGCCACACUUGGGGCAUGUAGCAGUUCCUAGGCCGGGGACUGAACCCAUACCAAAGCAGUGACCUGAGCCACAUCAGUGACAGUGCUGGAUCCUUAACUCACUGUGCCACAAGAGAACUCCAAGAUCCAACUGGAUUUUUUUUUUUUUUCCUGUCUUUUUAGGGCUACACCCUCAGCAUAUGAAGAUUCCCAGGCUAGGGGUCAAGUUGGAGCUGCAGCUGCCAACCUAUGCCACAGGCACAGCAAUGCAGGAUCCAAGCCGAAUCUGCAGCCUACACCAUAGCUCACGGCAACUCGGGAUCCUUAACCCACUGAGCAAGGCCAGGGAUCUAACCUGCAGCCUCAUGGUUCCUAGUCGGAUUCCUCUCUGCUGGGCUAGGACCGGAACUCCUGUUUUACUUUCUAUUUGUUACAUUCUAGCAAUGGUUUCCUGAAUUUCUGUGGUAGCUUUAAUACAAUCUAUAUUGUAAUUCCUAGGGGGGUUACCACCCUUUUCCUUAAGGUGGGGGCUGGGAGAACUACUUCACAACGUCAACAUUUUGAUUGCAUUUUGAUUUCAAUUCAGAAAGGAAGGCAUUGCACAGGGGGAUAAACUUUGAGGUGACUGGGGACUGAGGCUUUUGUGAAUUCCAGCUACUUGGUCUCUAGGUCUUCCUUUUGGGUUUUGUCAAAGUCCUCUAUUCUCCUGCAAAUACCUGUGACAGCAACAUAUUACCACUUGUGUGCCUAGGCUUGCAUAUUUGGUAUAUUGCACAGUUUCAGAUGGCAGAGUAAAGGAAGACUUUUUUAAUAGGAUAGGAAAGGUAAAAUGAUUGCCCAGUCUUAGCACCUGGCUAGGGUAUCUCCUGGGUAGAGAAACAAGAGUUGUGCCCAAUUAAAAUAAUCCCCAUUUUAAUGAAUCUGUUCAUUUUUCCAGGUUUGUGGUUUUUGUGAUUUUGGUAGAGGCUUUCCUAAACUAUGAGGGCAAUAUAGAAAUCACCAGAUAGGAGUUCCCAUUGUGGUUCAGUGGUUAACAAACCUGACUAGUAUCCAUGAGGAUUUGGGUUCGAUCCCUGGCUUUGCUCAUUGGGUUAGGGAUCCCGUGUUGCUAUGGCUGUGGUUUAGGCAGGCAG